rnacentral:rRNA from 1 species
UACGGAGGGGGCUAGCGUUGUUCGGAAUUACUGGGCGUAAAGCGCGCGUAGGCGGCCAUGCAAGUCGGGGGUGAAAGCCCGAGGCUCAACCUCGGAACUGCCUUCGAUACUGCGGGUCUCGAGUCCGGGAGAGGUGAGUGGAAUUCCUAGUGUAGAGGUGAAAUUCGUAGAUAUUAGGAAGAACACCAGUGGCGAAGGCGGCUCACUGGCCCGGUACUGACGCUGAGGCGCGAAAGCGUGGGGAGCAAACAGG